GUUGGGUGUGGUGGCCACACCUAUAAUCCCAGCAGCUCAGGAGGCUGAGGUAGGAGGAUCGCAAGUUCAAGGCCAGCCUCAGCAAUUUAGUGAGAUCUUGCCUCAA
rnacentral:sRNA from 1 species